rnacentral:lncRNA from 1 species
AACCUUUUGUUAAAACAUUCACCUGAUUCAAUUUGCGAGAACUCAAACAGGAGAUAAACCCUACAAUGAUAGCAAUAAGUUUCUUACUUAUAGUACAUCCCUUGGUAUACCUAAGGGUGUAAAUAAAAAGACAAACACCAUGAAUAUCAAGAAGAUGCAAAAUUCUUCAAAUGCGGUUCUCACUACAUUAACAUCAUGUAACUCACACUGGUGAGAAAUCAUAAGUAGGUAAAUAAUGCAUAAGCAUGUGAAAAAGUCUUUAGCUGGUUCUAUCACUUUUUUUCUAUAUUAGAGAACUCAUACUGGAGACAAACUGUAUAUAUGUAAUCAGUGUGGAAAAGUGUUUGGUAUUUUCCAUGUGGUAGUUUCAUUAGACUUGAAAGAAAUCAUACCAGAGACAAACUCAGUGAUAGUCCUGAACUUGGAAAAUCUUUCAGACAGAACACUCACCUCAUUAUGCAUUACAGAACUUUCAUAAGAGGGAGGCCCUACGAAGAUAAUGAAUUUAGGAAGUCUUAUAUACAGAGGUCUCAUGUUAUUAUGCAUCAGAUAAUUCACAAUAGGAUGAAAUAAUACAAAGACUAAAAAAUACUUCAGUUGAAGCUGUCACAUUUUCUUCACAUCAGAAAACCCUGCUGGAGAGAAGCCAUAUGAAUGACUUGAUUGUGGAAAAUUCUUCAGCCAGAGCUCUGACCUUAUUGUGUGUCAAAAAAUAGAAAGAGAGCAAUCAUAUGAAUGUUGUCAAUGUAGAAGUCUUCAUCCAAAAGAAUAACUUCAUAAAGUAUCAAACAAUUUCUCAUAUGGGAGAGCAAUUCUUAAAAUGUAAUCAUUGUGGGACAGCUUUUGUUUAUAUAUCUAAAUUUAUUAGGUACCAGAUGAAGCAUAUUAGAGAAAACACUCACUAAUAUACUGAAUAUGGAAAAUUAGUCACAAAGAGUAAUACAUUUAUUUUGCAUCAAAGAGUCAUUCUGGUGAGAA